GACAGGGACCCAGAUGGCACUGUCACCUCCACCAACUCCGGCCAAAUCCUGAACACCAUCUGGGAUGUUGAGUUUGUCUUCCCCCUUCCCCCACCAGUGUGUUUCCACCUUACUUCUUCUCUUUCCUAUGCCUCUCCUUUUUCCUUCUGUCUAAACCAAACUGCAUCUUCUGCAACACAUCUGUGAGCCUGUGACCAGAAAAGGAAGCUAAAAGAAAUACCCUAAAAUAGCCCAAUGCUAAUAUAAAAGUUUUCCAGGUCUUGGAACAGUUGUUAAAACUGUGAGCUCUGUUUGGUGUUUUUUCAGGUGUCAGACUGCAAGUGAAAGUCAACAUGCACCAGAGAGAGAAGUUGCAUUUUCUAUCUUUGCUGUUCUCUUCUUUCCGCUUUUGUGUGCAUGUGCCUUGUUUUGUCCUCUAAGAAACAGGAUUGGACUUUAACUGCAGCUCCGGUCCAUCUCAACUAACUUUUUCUUUCCUCCCCUCCAAAAAGAACACUGAGGAAAUUCAAGAAGACUUGAAGAAAGUGCUUCCCAUGACAUGGAAGAAGUUAAGAGCCCAGCCUCCUGGAGUUCAGUCUGUCUCAGAUGAAUUUAAACCAAGAAGGCUUGCAAAGAAAGCAGCAUAUGGCAGCUUAGAAAAAAAGCGCCAUCCAGCUCACAAGCAAAUCAAUGGAAAGCAGCUCGUUGACCUCAAAGGGGGUUUGAUAAUGUCCAACAGGAGGAACACUUACAGGGAAGAGAAAUACCAAGUAUCUUUUGUGAUCAGUUAAUCAGAAGUAAUCCAUACAGCUCCAACAUCAAAUAGCAAGCAUCAAAUAUAUAGAGGUUUUUUUGUGAUUCACAGAAUUAGAAAAAAUAAUCCAACAUCAAAUAAAUCAGAGACCUUCUAUGAGCAAAAAAA